UUUUUAAAAAAUAUGUUCACACUUAGCGUGGACACCCUGUAUAUGUAUACGUAUAUAGUCGUGGAAGGAAAUAGACGCGGACAACAGAUUUUAGGGAAGUUAGAAACACUAGUUCAUUUAAUGGGCAGAAAUUAAAAGUUGAAUGAAUUAAAAGUUGAAAAAGUUCUAACUUCCCUAAAAUCUGUUUUCCGCGUCUGUUUCCUUCCACAACUGUAAAACUUCGUGGCCGUUUGACUUUUGUACUUCCCUCGACCAAUAUGUAUCUAUAUAUGUAUAUAUAUAUAUAUAUGUGUGUGUGUGUGACGUAACGACGAAGAGAUCGAACUCACGCUCGUGCAUGGGCGGGGAUAUUCAUUAAACUGAUAUUGCUCGGGACGGAUGUUCCAGUGUUCAUCACACGAGUCGACAGGACACUACCUAAGUGUGGACCCUCAUGCCCAAACACCAACCUCUCAACAUUCCUAAAUAUCAUGGCGGCGCCGACGACGUACCCGUGGGAAAAUGGCUCCGCUUGUUCGAGUCCAAGGCAGACACCAACGGCUGGACAGAGCAGGACAAGAUCAACAACUUAAGCGAGUACAUCGAAGGCGAAGCGUUCCGCUGGUACCUUUUCAAGAGCAUGAAGACUUGGAAGGAUGUCAUGGAACGUAUGAGUGUCCGCUUCGAAAGCCCAGUUGCAGACCCAUUUCGCUCCUUUAUUCACUGCCGAGUGCCGACAGAGGAAGGACCAGUCGGUUGGCUCCUACUAUGAGGAGAAACGAAGACUGGGUGAGUCGGCUGGGCUCAGGGCCAGUCACGUUGUGUCCGGUCUGACCGAUGGUCUCCUCCCAGAGUUGGAACUGGCGCUUGCCGGACUUCGGAUUGAAUCUCCCAUCGAAUGGCUCGCCUCAGUUCAGAGAGUGGAGAUCGCUAUGAGCAGACAAAGGCAAGGGACCGCCUUCAAACAUCAGCAACCACGAAGAACCGACGAUGGGAUGGAUGGGAAGUACAUGCAAACCCGUUAGCAGGACGACCUUCCGAGGACUGAGUGUAGACACUGUUCCUCAAUCGGUCUGGCGCAGCAGUACCACUGGCAUAGCACGUGCCCUAACCGAGUAUCUACCUCCGCCCUCACGGAUGAGCAGGGAAACGGGCAGUGCGACCCAGGCCUCAAUAAUUCAUUUCAAAGCUUUCAUCAAUGGGACUCCUGUUACUGCCUUUCUAGAUACAGGAUCCACAAUUUAAUGUAUCAGCGAAGACAUCUACAGGAGGCUCCACACUGUAAAAAAAUACUGUGAUUUCUACGGGCGUUUAAUAGUAUCUGACGACGGCGUGUUAGCGUAAUCACAAAUACUGCGAAAACUAGGUAAAAGUGGCGCCAUCACCAUGCGCCGGCCAAAACCUUCACUGCGGAGGCAAAGCCAAGCCAAGUACGGGUCAUUGCCGUCAUUCACAACCGCCGAACAUCGUGCGUGGGCGAUCGUUGAGCUGACUGACGUCGAGCUGACUGAUGGGUGCACAUGGUUCCUUCCUAAAAGCGAUAAAACCCCGGUGCAGGGGACACAGAGAGACAAAACAGACGAACCACUGACUGAAACGGGGUUUUAUCGCCUUUAGGAUGUACCACCAAACAGCCCGGUUUUUAUCGCUUUCUAACCUCAUGGUUCCUUCUUAUGUUCUUCCAUUGAAAAAAUAAACUGUGAGUAUAACUGCGUGUCAAUUGCCCUGCUCCCUGUAACAGUUUCCUUCCUCUUUGCAAUGUUUUGAUGCCAGAGCUGACUGAUGGGUGCACAUAGUUCCUUCAAAUGUUCUUCUUUUGAAAAAAUAAACGAGCUGACUGAUGGGUGCACAUGGUUCCUUCGAAUGUUCUUCCUUUGAAAAAAUAAACUUGUUUUGAUGCCAGAGCUGACUGAUGGGUGCACAUGGUUCCUUCGAAUGUUCUUCCUUUGAAAAAAUAAACUAGCUGACUGAUGGGUGCACAUGGUUCCUUCGAAUGUUCUUCCUUUGAAAAAAUAAACGAGCUGACUGAUGGGUGCACAUGGUUCCUUCGAAUGUUCUUCCUUUGAAAAAAUAAACUAGCUGACUGAUGGGUGCACAUGGUUCCUUCGAAUGUUCUUCCUUUGAAAAAAUAAACGGUG